GUUUUUCCAUUUGGUUUUUAUAUCGUUCGGUCAUUUCAACGAAUUUCAUUUCUUGGAGAGCGCUUUCAACUUUUGUGGUGAUGGGAGCUAUGUAUCGGAUGUUCUUGCUAAGAUUGUUGAUUCUGAGCGGCUAUUAAUUUGGGGUUAAUUCUUUGUUUCUAUGAAUGGCUUUGGGAGCGUUUUACUCUUUUCCACACUAUUCUUCUGUGUUAGAGGAUUCUGCUCUCACGCUCUCUUACUUGAAUGUUUUUCUCUUUCACGUUGUUCAUUUGGUUUAAUUUUGAAGAUUCGUCUCUCCACACUCUAAAUGGAAUGAAAAUUUCUAGAGAAUUUCUGAUUGCGAGCUUCUACCUGUUAUCAGAUACACUUCCUGCUUCGAGGUUUCAGUUCAGUCCUUAGAGUGAAGUGAGGCGAAUCUAUGCCAGAAUUUUGAUAAUAAUAGUAUACAAUAGUAGAAAUGAGCCCGAAUUUUCCAAAAAUAUGGUAAAAAUCCUGAAAUGAUGACAAAUACCCAAUUUCAUAAAAAACUUUGGAAAAUACACUUCAUUUCGGACAUAUCUAUUUCAAAUACCUAAUUUAAUUUUGGAUUUUUAUCUUUUGUUUUUAGUAAUACACUUGAAGACUCUGUCAAAUUGACUGAAGUGCUGAAGCACUUUCUUUCCUGGUCAAACAAAGAGCACUCUGAAGUGAAUCUGAUAACAUUGUUUGAACAGUUUCACAAGUGAAUGUUAGGGUUUAGAGAAUCACUUAACCACCCAUUUAUGUAUAAAUUCAAUUUUAGUUCCCCCCUAGGUAGAAGAACAUUGGUUUUCUGUGGUCAGAUUUGUUUUAAGUUGAUAUCUGUAUUUUUCCUAAGUUUUUGUUAGUUUGCUGGGACCUACUGUGUCUGAUGAUCAUUCUACUAUGCAUGCAACUAGCUACCGAC
rnacentral:lncRNA from 1 species